rnacentral:lncRNA from 1 species
AAACCACAAAUUUGAUGCUUCAAGUCCAACGAAUCCAGUAAUGAAUUCAACAAGAACAAGAACGUGAACGUAAACGUAACAAUUAACAUUAAUAAAAACCAUCUCCGAAUUUAUAUAUAUUUAGAACGAUAAAGUUCACAAACACAAAUUUUCUAGAUCUAGCAAACUCGAGUAGAAUUACAUAUAUAAGAUCUACCUUCCUCUCAGGGAGAGAAGAGGUGUAUGUAUAGUAACAAUAACACUAAGAAUCAAAUCAUACUGAAAUCUGAAAGGUGAAAUUAAUUAAAAUAAGAAAGCGAAAACGACCGCAGAUAGAGAUGCGAUGACGGUGGGGACGAAGACGGUCGAAGCACCUGCGGUAGGAGCAGGAGCAGGGGCGUCUGCGGCGGAGACGGUGACGGAGAAGGCUGAGACGACCAUCAUCAUCACCAGCAUUGCUGCGAAAAGCUUCAUCGUCUUCAAGGCCUCCAUGAAAUUGCUCUGUGAUUCAGUUCUUGAUGGAGAGAAGAAAAUUGCGAGAGAAAAGAGUAGGGAAGAGAAGGGUUAGAGAGAUGGGGUUUUAUAGAGAAGAAGGAAGGGUUCUUAGUUCUUACUUGUUAAGUUAAGACAUGGGUAUGGGUAGUAGUACCUCAGUAGAAGUGGUCCUCCAAUAAGAGAAAGAUGGUAUGCCCGUUGCCCGUGAUUCCUGAUUCUCU